UUAAAUUGAAGAGUUUGAUCAUGGCUCAGAUUGAACGCUGGCGGCAGGCCUAACACAUGCAAGUCGAGCGGUAGCACAGGAGAGCUUGCUCUCCGGGUGACGAGCGGCGGACGGGUGAGUAAUGUCUGGGAAACUGCCUGAUGGAGGGGGAUAACUACUGGAAACGGUAGCUAAUACCGCAUAACGUCGCAAGACCAAAGAGGGGGACCUUCGGGCCUCUUGCCAUCAGAUGUGCCCAGAUGGGAUUAGCUAGUAGGUGGGGUAACGGCUCACCUAGGCGACGAUCCCUAGCUGGUCUGAGAGGAUGACCAGCCACACUGGAACUGAGACACGGUCCAGACUCCUACGGGAGGCAGCAGUGGGGAAUAUUGCACAAUGGGCGCAAGCCUGAUGCAGCCAUGCCGCGUGUAUGAAGAAGGCCUUCGGGUUGUAAAGUACUUUCAGCGGGGAGGAAGG
rnacentral:rRNA from 1 species